rnacentral:lncRNA from 1 species
GCCCCCCCACUCCUCCCACUCCUUGGCCGCCGCCCCCUGCCCAUCUCCUCCUCUCUCAAUUUUUGCAGCCACACCCCAUACCCUAGCCGCCCCCCCUCAAUCUCCUCCUCCCAAGGUGCCAAUCCUUGCCGCUCGGAUCAUCGUCUCGUGGUGCGAUUCUCCAAUCGUUUUGGUGGAGGGAAGAAGGGAGGAAGGAAAGGGGGAGAAUCCAAGGUGAUUUUUGUGUUCAUCCCUUGUUCUUUUGCGCUGCGAUUCAAUUGAUUAGAUGUUGCGUUUGCGAUUGGAUAGAGGGGGCUGUCCAGAAUUUUACGUGGUGGAUGAACGGCGGAAGUUCUAGCAGUUUCUAGGUUUUUUUCGUGAAAAAUUAAUGGGGAUCAAUUUGAGGAUCUUGUAGAACUUUGUUUUACCUUUCCAACGAGUAUUUAUGCGCUCAAUUUGGAGUUAUAAAUUAAAAGUUAUCAUCGUUUGAAUCCGGGUAUGUGGCUGUCCAAAAAAACAGAUUUUUCAGAAGGAUGAACAGCAGCAGUAUUAUCAGUUUCUGGGGAUUUUUCGGGAGUAAUUAGUGUUAAUCAGUAUGAGAAUCAUGUAGGGCUUUUUCUUAUCUUUCCAACAAGUACUUAUGCGCUCAAAUCGGAAUUAUAUUUUAAAAGUUAUCGCUGUUUGAACCCGAGUAUGUCGCUGCCCAAAUCAGAAAAAAAAAACAGAUUGCAGGGUUUAUUUUGUGGACCGUUUAGAGGUAAUUAGAUGUUAGAAUUUAAUCAUGAGUUGUAUACAAAACUUGUGGGGAAUUUUAUGUAGUUGUCUCUGGAGUUUUUGUUUGACACCACUGCUGUCCUAAUUUUUAAGUUAUGGAAUUGUUAAGCAGCGCCGCUGCAGUUUGGUUGGUGAGGGGAGAAUUGUUACCGCGGCGGGGUUUGAGAUUGCGCGUAGGUGCGGUGUUGUCUUUGAGUUUUUUAUGUGAAUUUGGUGCACUAAGUUGGGUGUCAAAAACAGGUGGUGGACUUCCGGAUCGUUCUUAGGGAUUUUGCCCAAACUUCCGGUGAAGGCAAGUAAACUUGUGAUGGUUAUUCCGUCUGGCAAAUGAGGAGUCUUAUUCUUGAAUAUGUUGUGCUAUUAUGUUCAUAUUCAUAUUUUGUUUGUUUAUUGAGUACCAUCAUUUGAGAAUGUUCAUGUUUCAUGAAUUUCAUAUGUUGAGUUUGAGGUUUGAUCAUGUUACUCAAGUGGUUAUUAUGUGGAAUGGGUGGAAGUAUAUGACUAGCACAUUUUUAUUUGGGAAGAACUUAUGAUGUUGUCAUGCAUAAUGCACUCAUCAUCCAUUGCAUUGAAGUUUCGUCGCGAUCUUAUGGUCCGACCGUACCAGUACAUUGAGCAUCAUAUGUUGCCCGAGAAGGGGUAUGGUGCAGCUUCAUAUCCUUAGAGAUAUGGAGGCAGAAGUCAUUAUUGCAUUUGUAGCCAUGUGCAUUCAUGGGAGAGGUGUGGAAUCUAUUAUGUGGAUGUGGAUAAUCUAGACUUGUGCAUGGUGUUUCUUCUUGGCGUUAAGUAUUUAUUUACUUGUGUACUUGCUGCAAUUUACUGUCGAAAAAAAGAAAGAAGUUCUGAACCACGUGGUUGUAUAAGCACAGUUGAUUUACAAUGUCCUAUUUGUUGUGGUUAUGUUUACUUGCUGAGAUGUGUUAUCUCACAUCUUGCAUUGUUUGAUGCAGGCACCUAAUUUCUGCUUGGGGAAUAGAGGGAUGUAGCAGCACGGCCACUUCACCUUUAAUUAAAGGAACCCCCACUUAAUAAUGUUGUUAAUCAGAGUUGGUCAAGUCCAGUGAAUUACUUUGUUCUUGGUUGAGCGUUUGUUUUGGGUGGGCUGAGUUCCUUAUCCCAUUUGUUUUACUUCAGUUGGGUCCUAAUUAAGUUUUACCACUUUUGCAUUUUUGUUUCUACUACGUGAAUUAUAUGUCUUUAUAUCUUGUAUGAACUUCAUGUUUCCCCUCCUCGUUAUGCUAGUUUUCAAAGGAGGUGCUGCCGGAUUUUUCUUGCUUUAUAUUCUUUCUUUAUUACAUCUCUUGUGUUGAGUCAGUUUGGUGGGUGGGGUUUGUGGUAUUAUCCAUUCUGUGCGACCAGUGGGGUGUUACAGUUGGUAUCAGAGGUAUAGGCUGUAGGUCCUAGCAAGUGGAGUAGUAAUAAAUUGACACACUGCACAUGUAGGAUGGGUUUUCUGUCUUGCUAUUGAUAUGAUUAUGUUAUUGUCUGUGCUAGUUUUGACAUUAUCUAGAGAGAUGUUAUGCUUAUCUCAUUUACUUAUUAUUCUCAUCCCUGUGGCUGCAGCUAUGCCGCCUCGUAGAGCUCGGGGUAGUCCGCAAGCUCCUAGUGGGGACUCGAUGAGUCCGGCGGCAAUGUUAGCCGCGAUGCAGGCCAUGCAGCAGGAGUUGGCCCUUCUGAGGCAAGCCAUUCCUGUCGCCCCUGCGGGUGCUGCUCAGGGUGCUAGAGGUGGAGAAGUGCCCGGGGGCGCUGUCCCUGCGGGUGCUGUUCCAGGUGGCGGGGCCGAGGUGCCUCUUCCAGUCAGUGGUCUUUCUCUGAUGCAGUGGAUGGGCAUGAAGUUGGAUUCUUUUGAUGGCAGUGGUACUCCGGUCGAGGCGACAGAUUGGUUGACUUAUGUGGAGGAUAAGAUGAAUGUCUUCGAGAUUGCAUAUGGAGAUUGGGUUCGCUUUGGCACUCAGCUGCUGAAGGGAGAGGCUCAAAUUUGGUGGAGAGGCGUGCAGGCAGCGCGCUCCUCCUCACCAGGAGUCCUAUCUUAGGAUGUUUUCAUCAGACAGUUUGAAAGGAGGUUCUACCCGGUCACCUUUCUGGAGAAAAUGAAGAUUGACUUGCAGUCCUACAAGCAGGAGAAGAAGUCUGUCACAGAGUAUGAGGUGGGCUUCAACAAGAUGGUCCGCUUUGUCCCUCAUGUGGCUUAUAAUGAGAUGGAGAAGGCGAGCCAAUUCCGUCAGGGUCUGAAGCCUUCUAUUAGGCAUGCACUGGGGGCUUUUCUGUUGGUGGACUUCCGUACCACGGUGGAGCAGGCGCUGGGUGUGGAGAUGCAACACCAGUAUACCAUGGAGUCGCAGAAGUCUUCGGGUGUUGAUCAGCCUUGUAGUCAGGACGCGAGGAGAGGCAACACUGGAGGUCCAGCUCACAAGAGGGGCAAGUCUCAGCAUCAGCGCCACCAUCCUUACCGUGGCAAAUCUUCUGACUCAGGUACUUCGGGAGGAAGUACUCAGAGGUUUCGGGCCGUUCCUAAGCCCGGGCUGGGGCUGGUGUGUUUCCGCUGUGGAGAUGCGCAUCGCCGUGCAGAGUGCCAGUGGAGUGGCAGGUGUUCUAUCUGCAGUCAGGACCACAAGGAUGUGGUGUGUAGGAGGAAUCCCAAUGGGAAGCUCAGAUGGGAGCCGGUGACUUCCUCCUCUUCUUAGGGCACUAUCAACAUGAUGUCAAGUGCUGAGCAGCAGUUUUCAGUUCCUCUUCCUCCACAGCAGCUUUAUGUGCCUGGGACCUCUCAAUUUGUGCCGAUGCAAGGUUUUCCUUAGUAUCAGGCUGUGCCUACUCCUGCACCGUCUACCCCUGUGCUGACUCAGUUUGGAGCUCUGCGCCAGCCUCCUCCGGUGGCUCAGUGGGGUUCUUCUGUUAAUUUCACUCCGGGAGCUUCCUCUUCUGCGGGUAUUUCUGGAGCUUAUGUGCUACCCGCUGCGGAUGGCAGGGAGCAAGGAGACGUGGUGACAGGUACGAUUUCAGUUGAUUCGUUUGCUGCCCAUGCUCUUUUUGAAUCUGGUGCUAGCUAUUCGUUUGUUUCGGAGGAUUUUGUGUCGCGGGCUGGUCUUUUGGUGCAGAGGCUGGGUCACCCAAUUUUGGUUAGAUCUGCUAAUGGCUCCAUUAGUAGCUGCUCAGUUGGUCAGGGGUGUUCUGUCAUUCUUGCUGAUGAGGUCUUUGCGGCCAAUUUGGUGGUGAUUUCCUUGGGGGCGUUCGAUGUUAUCUUGGGUAUGGACUGGUUAUCCCAGUAUCGCGCGGUUAUAUCCUGCUUCUGGAAGACAGUGUUAUUGCAGGCGCCGCCGGGAAAGGAGGUGGUAUUCUUGGGAAGUUCCCCGAAGUUCUCGCUAUCCCUGUUGGCGCAAUUGCUUCCUGAUCGCCGAUCAAGGAAGUUGGGGAUCUUUUUCUCCAUGGUGGUGGAGGGUGAGGCAGCCUCGCGGGUGUAGGACAUUCGGGUGGUGUGUGACUUUGCUGACGUGUUUUCGGCAGAGCUUCCAGGCAUUCCUCCGGAGCGCGAUGCAGCUUUUGAGAUUAAGCUGAUUCCGGGUAUGCAGCCUAUUCAUUAGGUCCCAUAUCGAAUGGCCCCAAAGGAGCAGAUUGAAUUAAAGCGACAAUUAGAUGAUCUACUGGCUAAAGGCUUCAUUAGGCCUAGCAGGUCUCCAUGGGCUUCCCCAGUAUUGUUUGUUGAGAAGAAGGAUAAAAGCAAGCGGCUGUGUGUGGAUUAUCGCGCUUUGAAUCAAGUGACAAUCAAGAAUAAAUAUCCGCUUCCCUGAAUUGAGGUCCUCUUUGAGCAGUUGAGGGGUGCCCAGGUGUUCUCCAAAAUUGAUUUGAACUCUGGUUAUCAUCAAUUGAGGAUUCGUGAGGAGGAUAUCGAGAAGACUGCCUUCUGCACCAGGUAUGGGCAUUAUGAGUUCAUAGUCAUGUCUUUUGGCUUAACUAAUGCCCCUGCUGCCUUUAUGGAAGCAAUGAAUAGGAUGUUGCAUGAAUUCCUGGACGACUUUGUGGUCGUGUUCCUGGAUGAUAUUCUGAUUUAUUCAAAGACGAGGCCGAGCAUGAGCAGCAUCUCCGUCUCGUUCUGGGUGCCCUAAGGAAGAAUCAAUUCUAUGGCAAGUUGAAGAAGUGCGCCUUUUGGCUAUCCGAAGUGGCUUUCCUGGGGCACGUGAUUAAUCAACAGGGUAUUGCGGUUGAUCCCAAAAAUGUUGCGGCUGUGGUGGAGUGGAAGAGACCCUCUAGUGUCUCUGAAAUUCGAAGUUUCUUGGGGCUUGCCGGGUAUUAUCGGCGCUUCGUACCAAAUUUUUCCGGCAUUGCUAAGCCUUUGACUAGGCUCUUGGAGAAGGGUGUUCCCUUCGUCUGGUCCGGCGAUUGUGAGGUCAGUUAUCAGUCAUUGAAGAGCAAGUUGGUGGACGCCCCUAUCCUAGCUUUGCCUGAGAGCGGUAAGCGUUUCACAGUUUAUAUGGAUGCUUCGCGUAUUGGUCUUGGCUGUGUGCUGAUGCAGGAAGGCAGAGUGAUUGCUUAUGGCUCAAGGCAGUUGAGGAAGCAUGAGGGGAAUUAUCCAACUCAUGAUCUGGAAUUGGCUGCGGUGGUUUUUGCUCUAAAGUCGUGGAGGCAUUACCUUUAUGGCAAGGCUUGUGACAUUUUCACCGAUCACAAAAGUCUCAAGUAUAUUUUUACUCAGAAGGAGCUGAAUUUGAGGCAGCGUCAGUGGCUAGAAUUGAUUAAAGAUUAUGAUUUGUCCAUUCAUUAUCACCCGGGGAAGGCUAAUGUGGUGGCGGAUGCCCUUAGCAGGUCCGGGGUUCCAAAGGUGGCCUUGCCGUUGAUCGCUGAUCUGGACCGUUUGGGGAUCGCUUUGUGUUAUGUCGGCACCGCUAGCGAGGAGACUCAGAUGCUUAUUCAAUCCUCUCUCAUGGAGAGAGUGCGUGCGGCUCAGCAGCAGGAUCGUCUUUUGCAGGAAGCUCGAAAGAGGGUUGGUGAUGGUAAACCGCGGGAGUUCACCAUUGAUGAGAAUGAUUUGGUUCGUUUUAGGGGCCGUCUUUGUGUGCCUCAGAAAUCAGAGGUGAAGCUGGAUAUCCUGCGAGAAGCUCAUAAAACGCCUUACACCGUCCAUCCUGGCGAAACCAAAAUGUACCGAGAUUUGAAACAAAAUUUCUGGUGGAAGCGGAUGAAGGUUGACAUUUCUAAGUAUGUGGCCGACUGUGAAGUAUGUCAACGCGUGAAGGCCAAACAUAAGCGGCCUGCAGGUUUGCUGAAGCCAUUGGAAAUUCCAGAGUGGAAAUGGGAGCAUAUCACCAUGGAUUUGUUGGUGGGUCUACCUCGUUCCCCUCAUGGCAGGGAUGCUAUUUGGUGGUAGUGGAUCGCUUGACUAAGUCUGCGCAUUUUAUUCCCAUGAAGACCACAAAUUCAGCUUCAGAUUUGGUUCCCUUGUAUAUGAAGGAAGUAGUCAGACUUCACGGGGUACCUAAGUCUAUUAUUUCUGAUCGAGACUCCAAAUUUGUAUCCAAAUUCUGGGAGAGUCUCCAUAGUGCAUUGGGCACCAAGCUUUCUCUUAGUGUCGCUUUUCACCCUCAGACUGAUGGUCAGUCAGAGCGAACAAUCCAAACCUUGGAGGAUAUGUUGCGUGCUUGUGUUCUGUCAUGGAAGGGUAGCUGGGAGGAUCAUCUUGCUCUGGCAGAGUUUGCGUAUAACAACAGCUACCAAGCUAGCAUCAAGAUGGCACCAUUUGAGGCUUUGUAUGGCAGGCGGUGUAUCUCUCCUCUGUGCUGGGAGACUUUGGGAGAGAGAUCCCUGGUUGGUCCUGAUUGGGUUCAGCAAACUUCUAAAAAGGUUCGGGAAAUUCGUCAGAAUAUUUUGGCAGCUCAGAGUCGUCAGAAGAGUUAUGCUGAUGUGAGGAGGCGGGAUCUGGAAUUUGCUGUGGGUGACCAAGUCCUUCUCAGGGUAUCACCCACUAAGGGAGUUGUUCGGUUCGGUGUCUCUGGGAAGCUCAGACCGAGAUACAUUGGACCGUUCACUAUCUUGGCCCGAGUGGGCAGCCUGGCUUAUCGCUUGCUACUGCCGGAUUCCAUGGCAGGGGUACACCCGGUUUUUCAUGUCUCUAUGUUGAGGAAGUUCUUGCGGGAUCCGGACCAUCAGAUUGAGAUGGAACCAAUUGCGGUGCAGCAGGAUCUGACUCUGGAGUGUCGUUCGGUGCGUAUAUUGGAAUUCUCGGAGCGUGUGUUGAGGAAGAGAUCAAUUAAGUAUGUCAAGGUCUUAUGGACUAAUCAGUCUGAGCGCGAGGCUACGUGGGAACUUGAGGAGCUGAUGCGGCAGAAGUACCCGGAACUUUUCGUUGUGGGUAAGUGUUGUUGAUUCAUUAAUCUUUUCUUUUGUCAUUCCGAUAGAAGCGUCAGAAUUCGAGGUCGAAUUCUUUUUAAAAGGGGUAGAGUGUGAUACCCGGUUUUGCAAAGAAGAGAAGUUGGGGGUUGUUCUUUUGUUUUUUUCCCUCAUCCGGUUGUGGUUUUGGGGAUUUGGGAUUUUGUGGAAAACAUUCACAACUAGGGCAGUAGAAUUGUUUUGGUUUGAUGCUUGCGUUGGGGUCGGGAGCUGUCGCGUGGGUUAGUUGGGCCGCGAUUGGUGUUUCGGCCCAUUAAUCCUCCCAAACCCUAGCCGCCUCCCUCCUAACCCCCUCCCCCCUUGUGCAGCCGCCCCUCCCACUCCUCCCACUCCUUGGUCGCCGCCCCCCUGCCCAUCUCCUCCUCUCUCAAUUUUUGCAGCCACACCCCAUACCCUAGCCGCCCCCCUCAAUCUCCUCCUCCCAAGGUGCCAAUCCUUGCCGCUCGGAUCAUCGUCUCGUGGUGUGAUUCUCCAAUCGUUUUGGUGGAGGGAAGAAGGGAGGAAGGAAAGGGGGAGAAUCCAAGGUGAUUUUUGUGUUCAUCCCUUGUUCUUUUGCGCUGCGAUUCAAUUGAUUAGAUGUUACGUUUGCGAUUGGAUAGAGGGGCUGUCCAGAAUUUUACGUGGUGGAUGAACAGCGGACGUUCUAGCAGUUUCUAGGUUUUUUUCGUGAAAAAUUAAUGGGGAUCAAUUUGGGGAUCUUGUAUAACUUUGUUUUACCUUUCCAACGAGUAUUUAUGCGCUCAAUUUGGAGUUAUAAAUUAAAAGUUAUCAUCGUUUGAAUUCGGGUAUGUGGCUGUCCAAAAAAACAGAUUUUUCAGAAGGAUGAACAGCAGCAGUAUUAGCAGUUUCUGGGGAUUUUUCGGGAGUAAUUAGUGUUAAUCAGUAUGAGAAUCAUGUAGGGCUUUUCUUAUCUUUCCAACAAGUACUUAUGCGCUCAAAUCGGAAUUAUAUUUUAAAAGUUAUCGCUGUUUGAACCCGAGUAUGUCGCUGCCCAAAUCAGAAAAAAAACAGAUUGCAGGGUUUAUUUUGUGGACCGUUUAGAGGUAAUUAGAUGUUAGAAUUUAAUCAUGAGUUGUAUACAAAACUUGUGGGGAAUUUUAUGUAGUUGUCUCUGGAGUUUUUGUUUGACACCACUGCUGUCCUAAUUUUUAAGUUAUGGAAUUGUUAAGCAGCGCCGCUGCAGUUUGGUUGGUGAGGGGAGAAUUGUUACCGCGGCGGGGUUUGAGAUUGCGCGUAGGUGCGGUGUUGUCUUUGAGUUUUUUUUAUGUGAAUUUGGUGCACUAAGUUGGGUGUCAAAAACAGGUGGUGGACUUCCGGAUCGUUCUUAGGGAUUUUGCCCAAACUUCCGGUGAAGGCAAGUAAACUUGUGAUGGUUAUUCCGUCUGGCAAAUGAGGAGUCUUAUUCUUGAAUAUGUUGUGCUAUUAUGUUCAUAUUCAUAUUUUGUUUGUUUAUUGAGUACCAUCAUUUGAGAAUGUUCAUGUUUCAUGGAUUUCAUAUGUUGAGUUUGAGGUUUGAUCAUGUUACUCAAGUGGUUAUUAUGUGGAAUGGGUGGAAGUAUAUGACUAGCACAUUUUUAUUUGGGAAGAACUUAUGAUGUUGUCAUGCAUAAUGCACUCAUCAUCCAUUGCAUUGAAGUUUCGUCGCGAUCUUAUGGUCCGACCGUACCGGUACAUUGAGCAUCAUAUGUUGCCCGAGAAGGGGUAUGGUGCAGCUUCAUAUCCUUAGAGAUAUGGAGGCAGAAGUCAUUAUUGCAUUUGUAGCCAUGUGCAUUCAUGGGAGAGGUGUGAAAUCUAUUAUGUAGAUGUGGAUAAUCUAGACUUGUGCAUGGUGUUUCUUCUUGGUGUUAAGUAUUUAUUUACUUGUGUACUUGCUGCAAUUUACUGUCCAGAAAAAAAAGAAAGAAGUUCUGAACCACGUGGUUGUAUAAGCACAGUUGAUUUACAAUGUCCUAUUUGUUGUGGUUAUGUUUACUUGCUGAGAUGUGUUAUCUCACAUCUUGCAUUGUUUGAUGCAGGCACCUAAUUUCUGCUUGGGGAAUAGAGGGAUGUAGCAGCACGGUCACUUCACCUUUAAUUAAAGGAACCCCCACUUAAUAAUGUUGUUAAUCAGAGUUGGUCAAGUCCAGUGAAUUACUUUGUUCUUGGUUGAGCGUUUGUUUUGGGUGGGCUGAGUUCCUUAUCCCAUUUGUUUUACUUCAGUUGGGUCCUAAUUAAGUUUUACCACUUUUGCAUUUUUGUUUCUACUACGUGAAUUAUAUGUCUUUAUAUCUUGUAUGAACUUCAUGUUUCCCCUCCUCGUUAUGCUAGUUUUUAAAGGAGGUGCUGCCGGAUUUUUCUUGCUUUA